rnacentral:rRNA from 1 species
AAAACUUUCAACAACGGAUCUCUUGGUUCUGGCAUCGAUGAAGAACGCAGCAAAAUGCGAUAAGUAAUGUGAAUUGCAGAAUUCAGUGAAUCAUCGAAUCUUUGAACGCACAUUGCGCCCGCCAGUAUUCUGGCGGGCAUGCCUGUUCGAGCGUCAUUUCAACCCUCAAGCACAGCUUGGUGUUGGGACUCGCGUUAAUUCGCGUUCCUCAAAUUGAUUGGCGGUCACGUCGAGCUUCCAUAGCGUAGUAGUAAAACCCUCGUUACUGGUAAUCGUCGCGGCCACGCCGUUAAACCCCAACUUCUGAAUGUUGACCUCGGAUCAGGUAGGAAUACCCGCUGAACUUAAGCAUAUCAAUAAGCGGAGGAAAAGAAACCAACAGGGAUUGCCCUAGUAACGGCGAGUGAAGCGGCAACAGCUCAAAUUUGAAAUCUGGCUCUCGGGCCCGAGUUGUAAUUUGUAGAGGAUGCUUUUGAUGCGGUGCCUUCCGAGUUCCCUGGAACGGGACGCCAUAGAGGGUGAGAGCCCCGUCUGGUUGGAUGCCAAAUCUCUGUAAAGCUCCUUCAACGAGUCGAGUAGUUUGGGAAUGCUGCUCUAAAUGGGAGGUAUAUGUCUUCUAAAGCUAAAUACCGGCCAGAGACCGAUAGCGCACAAGUAGAGUGAUCGAAAGAUGAAAAGCACUUUGAAAAGAGAGUUAAAAAGUACGUGAAAUUGUUGAAAGGGAAGCGUUUAUGACCAGACUUGGACUUGGUUAAUCAUCUGGGGUUCUCCCCAGUGCACUUUUCCAGUUCAGGCCAGCAUCAGUUUUCCCCGGGGGACAAAGGCGGCGGGAAUGUGGCUCUCUUCGGGGAGUGUUAUAGCCCGCCGUGUAAUGCCCUGGGGGGGACUGAGGUUCGCGCAUCUGCAAGGAUGCUGGCGUAAUGGUCAUCAACGACCCGUCUUGAAACACGGACC